rnacentral:misc_RNA from 1 species
AAGUCGUAACAAGGUUUCCGUAGGUGAACCUGCGGAAGGAUCAUUAGUGAAUAUUAGCGCAUCUACUUGUAGAGCGUGACCUCCACUCUCUAACUCUGUGCAUUUAUUGGCGGAAGGACUUGAGCAAUCGAGUUUCCUUCUGCGGCUCAUUUUAAAACACUAGUUAAAGUAUGUAACGAAAUAUCGAAACAAAAAAA